UGUUGUUGUUGGUGUAGUGGU
ensembl:piRNA 21ur-12167 ncRNA